UGCGUAGGCGGCUUUGCAAGUCAGAUGUGAAAUCUAUGGGCUCAACCCAUAGCCUGCAUUUGAAACUGCAGAGCUUGAGUGAAGUAGAGGCAGGCGGAAUUCCCCGUGUAGCGGUGAAAUGCGUAGAGAUGGGGAGGAACACCAGUGGCGAAGGCGGCCUGCUGGGCUUUAACUGACGCUGAGAUGCGAAAGCGUGGGGAGCAAACA
rnacentral:rRNA from 1 species